ACCACGACUGCGUGCAGCCUUGCACGGUCCCACAAGGAGGACAAAGCUGUCCUAAAACCAGGAGGCAGCCCCAAGCCGGGGCUUGUUCCCUGUCCUGGGGCUCACUUAUAUGGGACCCAGGGGAGGGCUGAGGAGCCGCACAGGAUGAUAACUACGCUGUUUUGCUUGCCCCCUAAAUGCUGAGUGAGUGCUGGCUGUUGCUGUGUAAUUACAGUCACUACCUCCAGAGCUGCUACCAUGCCAAGCAGCCCUGCCUUGGCAGACAAAAACAACUGUGAGCAGGUCCAGCAAUAACGGUACUUAUCCCAUUAAGCACUUGGUUAAUUGCCAGGCUGAGAAAGGGAAUGGUGAGGAGAUGGGGGAACCCAGCUUUCGGACAAGCAGCAAGGCCCUCCUGUGCCUGAGGGUGCCACUGGCACCUCACUGGGCACUGAAGCCCCUUCUCACCCACCAGAGGCAGGUCAGGACAAGAAGGUGCCUCUCCGGGGCAGGUGGAAGCAGAUUUUUCAGGACAAGAAGGUGCCUCCCGGCACAGCCUGGCCACGCAGGGCUGGUUUGGGCUCAUCAUGUUGCCAGACACUGCAGAGGCCACUGAGGACACAAGAGCAUUUGCUUGGGAGCCGGGUGGCGGAAGGUAAGAGCCAACCAACUGCAUGACGUUGUUGUCAUCACUUCUGUUGUUCUCGUUUCUCCAGGACCAUCAACAGCAUAGCUUGCCUGCUUUAUUUAACUGCAGCUUCUGCACCCCUCCCUCAGGAAGAUGGAGCAGAGAGUCCCCGCUCUGCACAGAAAAAGCAGCAGCGACAAAGCCGACAGCAAAGUAAAUCUGCUCUGCAGGAACCUGGAUCUCCAUGAGCAGAUCAAAGUCCAAUUUAAAGGUAUCAUCCAAAUAGGAAAAAGCCCCACAGGACUGUAAUAACCAGCAGGCCAGGAACUUCAGCAAAUACCUCUGGGCUUCCCAGAAGAAGAGGUGUAAGAAAAGAUUCUUGUUCCCAAAAGGAGUUUUGGAACCAUGGAGUUAAAGGGAACACCUCCAUCCCCACUGUGGCAAGGUGAAAGGCACAGCAGCAGGGCCAGCAUGUCCAGCAUGACGCUGCUCCAACCACUUUGGGGGUCCUGGCCAAGGUGUGGGCCAAGCUGGGGUUCUGCAGAGUGACCCCCACAGCUCUCCUCUGCAGCUCCUUUCUGCUGAUAGCUGCAAAUUGCACACCGGAAAUGUCAAAAAGGUUGGUGUGUUUUUUCUUUUUUCUUUUUCCUUUUAAAUCUUGAAUCCAGCUGUAAAUAAUCCCAUCUAAUGAAGGGUAAGACUUGGGUUAAGAUAUAUUCUCAGAGCUUCUUGAGCCCGUGUGGGCAGUAGCCCUGUGUUCAGUGCAGACGGAAGGUUGCAGGGCACAGCUGGAUGAAUUAAUUGCCCCACAGAUGAGAUGCAUUUGCUGUGGUAUAAAUCAGCUGUCGCUUGUCAGGCAUGUUCCUGGCUUAUCAAUGGGAAGCAAAACAUUGCGGCGUAGCAGCUCCAUGAAAGGCCAUGUCCUGGAGCGGCACAAUUGGUGGGAGCACGGGCUGCAGAGGGGAUUACAAGAUAAGCAGGCUCUCCCACUUCUCCUAAAAGCUUGACAACUACCAGCAGCUGGCAGGAGAAUUCCAGCCCUACAUGGGCUGUAAUAAGAAGACGAACCAACUGGAGAACAAGAAAUACGACUCUGAUGGACCUUACAGAGCCCUUCUGGAAGCAGGAUUGCAGUGGUCUUCUCCGAAUCCAGGGAUGUGCAUGUGGGACGAGGCAGCUUGCAGCCACCCCUUCGUUUCCCCUGAAGGUCCCUAAGGAAAUGCUAUCCCACAGCUGGGGGCCAGCAUUGAGGAGAUGUCGCUCCACCCUCCAGGGCUGAUAAGGUAGGCAGCUGGCCAUGGUGUUACCUUGUGUGCCAACAGAGCCUCUUCCCACCUGAGGCUUCCACUUGGCAUAGAGCAUUAAGUGCGAGAUGUGGAAAGAGCAAAGUGUGGGGGAGCUGCUGGUUUCAUCGCUUUGGUGGGGCUCUUGGUGGUUCUUUUGUUUUUUUUCAUAGUGAGAUCAGAUGUGGCACUUCCCUAAAAACAUGGCAAUCCACGGGAGAGUUCAUUAGUUUGUGGCAAGUUGCAGCACUGAGGAAGCUGGCGGAAAGCAAAUGUUAUUGCAAAGAGUUAUCACUAAGGGGAGAGGAAAACAUGUCCCAAGGAAAUAAACUCGAUGGAGCAAAAAGUGGAACAAUAUAAAGCUAUAGAGGACAGGCAACUAGAGUUGAAUACUUCCUCAGAGUGAAAGCCCCCAGUCAUCUGUUUUUAAUGCCAAUGAUUGCUUUCUGCCUGUUCAGUGAAUACGUGGGACACAUCUGUUCAGGACUCCGCCUCUAAUAGGACAGCAAAUAUCACGACUGCAGCUGGCUGAACUUUUUUUUACCACCAUUAUACAAAAAUGUCUUUGUGCUCAUCAUCCAAUAUUGAUAACAGCACCAAAAGCAAAAAUCAGUUUUGCUUUUUUUUUAAAGAGUGUGUUUUAAUUCCAAGUGUCAUGGGAUUAUAUCUCAGAAAGGACUUUCCCCUGAAAACAAAUAAACAGACAAGCAAAAAAAAAAAUAAUACACACUAAAAUGUAGAUUUGAGCAGCUCUAAUGACGACCAGCCUGCCUCAAGUCUGAGAAAAGUUUAAGAAGCAAGGAGAAAGGAGAUGCCCACUUUCCUAAGUUUGACACAGCUGUACACUGCCAACUUUCUUAGCCUUGAGUCUCCAUCCAACUUGUACCAGCAACCGAAAAAGCAGCAUCAGGCUUGGAGAAGUGUUAAGGUAGAUGAAUCACGCUCUUGCUGAGUCUCAUGCCAGUUAAAACAUUGCAGAGGACUUUGGUUUGGGAUUGUCAGGGUUUUCCUUGUGCUUUCCCCUUUAUUUACUGGAAAAUAUAUUGCUACCAAGUCAAAGCAGAACACGGUGCUUCUUGAGAAGGACUGGUGUAGCCAGACCUGCCACUGAGGUGGGCAGCGCCCAUGUUCACACACUGCAUGGCCUGGGAGAAGAGCCUUGGGCCACAAAGACCCUCUCUGCAUAUGGAUGAAUCUGCUUGUGAGGCAGCAGGUGACUUCUUCUCCUUUCCCUUAUCUUCUCACCCAGGUUUCUGCCUCUGAGUUAUUGUGUGUUGCUGUUGGGGUGUAAUCCUGGUAGGUCUCCUGCCUGAGGACCAGGCUGGUCUUUUGGUGGCAGUGCAGCCCCUAGUUUUAGCACUGGUGAUCUUAGAAAUAAGAGACUAACUUCUUCAACAAGCUGCUUGAGGAGCAUGGGAUAGGUCAGAGAAUUCUCGGGCAGAUCAAAAGGCAGAGAUGUUUUUCUGACAGCCCUGGGGCUCCCUGUCAUGAUUUAUGAAUUAUAUAUGCUCCAUGUCUUUAACCAAAGGGACUCAGAGGGAGAACAUGGGUUGUUUAUUCAAGCAGGAAUGAGUGCGUGGCUUCAGAGAGCCACCAUCCACCAAGAAGUACCAUCUCCACAUCUGCAGAGCCAUCGCAGUGCAGAGGUGUCCAUCCAGCAGCCAUCACUGUGCUCCUCACCACAGAUCUGAGGUACGACCGCAGGUCCUGAGCGAACGUACUUGCUGAAAUUCCUGGGCAGAUGUUCUCCUCGGAGCUCUAGCAUAUCCCACGGGGCACAGCUCUCCUUUGGCGAGUGCUACGUGCCUUGGCAGGCUUUGAGUUUCAUGUCCUCCUUUGGAGGCUGGAUGCCCAAAGGCGAGCUGCUGGGUUCCCUGAGCUGUCGUCACAGUGGUGACGAGGGAGGCUUUCCAGAUUCUGAUGCAAAACAGGACAGGAAAACUCCUAAUUAUGAGGCCAGAGUGUUUCUGUGUGCUCAGUACAGUAAUCUCCGUAUCCAGUCUGUGACUUCUGGAUGGGUCGUAGUCCAUCUAGCAGAUAGUCUUGCAGUCACUGAAGGCUUUGAGCAACAAAACCCCACCACAUCCUGAGUCUGAGUAAUUACCUGCUGGAACAACUUUGCUGUUUUGUGAUCUAACACAAAAGCACCCGGUUUCAGCUUCCAGCAUGUAAAUCUCGCUUUUCCUUUGUCCGAUAGAAGAGGAAACCCUCUGCCAGAAAGCAUCUCUCUGGGAAUUUUUUGUGAGCGAUGACUACCUCACCUCUGAGCUCCCUCCUGCAACAACUAAAGGCACUGAAAGCUUUCAGUCCCUACUGUAGGACAGGUUUUCCCAUCCUGAACGAUCUUUGUAUUAUUUUGUUGCAGGUCCCUCUGCUAGGUAAAUCCAGAGCCACUUGCUGGAGGUGACUGGGGGAGUCAGGGAAAUCCAGCAGCUGAAAUUUCAGUGGUCAGGCUAUAGCCCUUUUUUCCACCACGUAUGGACCAAAGCGGUUGGAGACGCUGCUUGAUGACCGCUCAACCCUGCUGGUGAUUGAAAGGAUAGAGACAGGCAGCACAGAGCCCACCUUGUCUCAGCCAUCCUGGUGUGACCCCUUAGAGAGAACAACAAGGUCCCUGAGGACACCCAGCUGGUGCUGAGGGAGCAAUUCUGGGGUAGCUAGGACACCAUCACAGCCAUUUUCUCUGCAGUAAUUCCUAAAUCUGUGCUAGGACGAGUGACUUUGCUGCUGUCACCAACCCACCGCUGCCACCAACCCACCGCUGCCAGUCUUUGCGGAGAGGCUGAAUGACUGGUGGGAUUUGUUGCGUGAAGAACAACCAAAUGUGCAUUUUCUGCCAUUUUGGGAAACUUGCUGUUUCCUCUUCUCUUAAUGCCAAUGCAAAGUGGGCCCCCCAGGCACUUCUAUUGUCUCAGAGUCACUGUAGGGUUGAUACUAACACUAUAUGUGAUGGAUGGGAGGUAACCCCAGUAAACAUUUAUCACGGUUGAGCUGAAUCAGAGAGCGAGAGAGUGCGCCUUGGCUUAUUUUUUUUCCCCAUACUGAGACAAAUGUUGUCAUCGUAUCAUUCACGUAACCUUUCAGAUGAACUUAGUAAUCAUGAUAUGUUUUGGUUUGGCUUCUUUCAGAUUAAAACCCUGCCUUUCAGAAAAAGGAAACCAUAAGUUAAAUAACUCCAAAAUUAGGUAUUUCUGAAGGAUAAUUAGUGGUCUUCUUUCUUACCAAAAACAACCCAAGACUGUGCUUUAAAUAAUGCGUUGUAGUAAUUCCUUCAGUGCUGUUCCAAAUGUGAUUAAUUUAGCAGGAUGUUAUCAGUACAGCAUCCUACAUUUCAACCCAUACUUUAGGGUAUUAUCUACAGUAAUGACUACUACAUAUUUCUGCAACUCUUUGGAAAGUCAGCCUCAGCUUAUGUUGUAAAUCCCCCCAUCUGGGUCUCCCUGCUUCUGCAGGCUCACCAAGGAUCGUAUUUAAUACAUGCAAAUUACUGACUGACCCUAUUCCUUGAUUCCCUAUUUCAGUAGAUAGGGGGACCCGUGGAAAGUGGAUGCAGAUACAGAUCCCUGCCCCCAGUUAUUUCAAUUGCAUGCAAAUAUACGGGCACUAUAAUCCUAGCACUUCAUUGCUUUGACCAAAAAGCUAUUUUAUUUGCAUCAAAAGUUCUGUAGUGAGGAGAACGGGUCUGUGUUCGUAAAAGAGCUCACUGCAAAAAGUGCCAUUGUCCGUGCAAAUACAUAAAUACAUACUAUAUAGGGAUAUAUGUGUGUAUACACAUACAUCGGCAUUGUAUAUACAGAAAGACACACACACAUACUUAGGAGAUGUGUAUAUAACACUCACUUAUAUACAAAUCUAUUCCCUGUUAUGAAACAAUCAUCGAGAUAUAAACAAGAGAAUUUAAGCCAUGGAUGGGCACAUUUUCAAGUGCUGCUGGAGGGUUUUAUCUACAGUCCUGAAGAAGUGCUAUCAAAACCUAAACAGGGCACUUAUUACAAAGAAGUCUUUACGUAAGUGCUGGAAAGGUUUGCCGAAUAGCCAGAUGUUGUUGCAGAGACAGUUCUCCUCCCCCUCUCCCUGCUUCUUUCUGACUUUAACAGUUCGAUUAACUUUGCACAUAAACUGGGGCUGAUAAAGCUGCAAACUCCACUGCAUCUGGACACCGUUGAAGCCAGAUCAUUCAACGGUGCACGUUAAUCGCCUUUAAUCUCCCUUGAGAAAGUAAAAACUUCCACCAAGUCGUGCUGACCUACGCAUAUACUCCUGCGCUGUAAACACUGACAUCUGGGAGCUGCUCUCGGCGAGCACGCAGCGAUCUCCACCAAGCCAAGCGCUCGCCCUUCGCUGUACGACAAACCCGCAGCUGAUGCCGUCGGAGCAGGGCUAUGACCAGCUCGCUACGAAAUUCCCCUUUAU